UCGAGCGGCGGCGAGGUGGGGAGAGGAGGCCAGGGUUGGCAGCGGCUAGGGUUUGGUCGCCCGUGUCGCCUGGGGGAAGCGCGGCACAGGCGUUGGUCUCUCGUCAAGUUGGUCCAAAUUUUUAGCCUGCACUACUUUUGUAUACCCUAGUUGGUUAUUUAGCAAAAUAGUCGCCGAGUAUUACUGACCAACUUAGAACCGACUUAAAACGAUCGGACCAACUUUGGUCGACCAAUUGAUCAUACUGACUAAUUCACACCGUUUACCAUCGAUUAUCGACUGGUCGACCUGGUGGACUGAUUAGGCAACGCUAAUUUAUAUUUUGAAUGGCUCAAGUAAUGUUAUAUUGAUGAUUUUUAAUAAAUAAG
rnacentral:lncRNA from 1 species